UAUCACGGGAGACACACGGCGGGUGCUAACGUCCGUCGUGAAGAGGGAAACAACCCAGACCGCCAGCUAAGGUCCCAAAGUCAUGGUUAAGUGGGAAACGAUGUGGGAAGGCCCAGACAGCCAGGAUGUUGGCUUAGAAGCAGCCAUCAUUUAAAGAAAGCGUAAUAGCUCACUGGUCGAGUCGGCCUGCGCGGAAGAUGUAACGGGGCUAAACCAUGCACCGAAGCUGCGGCAGCGACACUGUGUGUUGUUGGGUAGGGGAGCGUUCUGUAAGCCUGUGAAGGUGUGUCGUGAGGCAUGCUGGAGGUAUCAGAAGUGCGAAUGCUGACAUAAGUAACGAUAAAGCGGGUGAAAAGCCCGCUCGCCGGAAGACCAAGGGUUCCUGUCCAACGUUAAUCGGGGCAGGGUGAGUCGACCCCUAAGGCGAGGCCGAAAGGCGUAGUCGAUGGGAAACGGGUUAAUAUUCCCGUACUUGGUGUUACUGCGAAGGGGGGACGGAGAAGGCUAUGUUGGCCGGGCGACGGUUGUCCCGGUUUAAGCGUGUAGGUGUGUGUUCCAGGUAAAUCCGGUUCACUUUAACACUGAGGCGUGACGACGAGGCACUACGGUGCUGAAGCAACAAAUGCCCUGCUUCCAGGAAAAGCCUCUAAGCAUCAGGUAACAUCAAAUCGUACCCCAAACCGACACAGGUGGUCAGGUAGAGAAUACCAAGGCGCUUGAGAGAACUCGGGUGAAGGAACUAGGCAAAAUGGUGCCGUAACUUCGGGAGAAGGCACGCUGACACGUAGGUGAAGUGAUUUACUCAUGGAGCUGAAGUCAGUCGAAGAUACCAGCUGGCUGCAACUGUUUAUUAAAAACACAGCACUGUGCAAACACGAAAGUGGACGUAUACGGUGUGACGCCUGCCCGGUGCCGGAAGGUUAAUUGAUGGGGUCAGCGCAAGCGAAGCUCCUGAUCGAAGCCCCGGUAAACGGCGGCCGUAACUAUAACGGUCCUAAGGUAGCGAAAUUCCUUGUCGGGUAAGUUCCGACCUGCACGAAUGGCGUAAUGAUGGCCAGGCUGUCUCCACCCGAGACUCAGUGAAAUUGAACUCGCUGUGAAGAUGCAGUGUACCCGCGGCAAGACGGAAAGACCCCGUGAACCUUUACUAUAGCUUGACACUGAACAUUGAGCCUUGAUGUGUAG
rnacentral:rRNA from 3 species